UACGUAGGGUGCAAGCGUUGAUCGGAAUUACUGGGCGUAAAGCGUGCGCAGGCGGCUUCUCAAGUCAGGGGUGAAAGCCCAGAGCUCAACUCUGGAAUUGCCUUUGAGACUGAGUGGCUUGAGUACGAGAGAGGUGAGUGGAAUUCCCAGUGUAGAGGUGAAAUUCGUAGAUAUUGGGAAGAAAACCGGUGGCGAAGGCGGCUCACUGGCCCGGUACUGACGCUGAGGUGCGAAAGCGUGGGGAGCAAACAGG
rnacentral:rRNA from 1 species